CAGGUCAGCAUACUGCCGUGAAUACGUUCCCGGGCCUUGUACACACCGCCCGUCACACCAUGAGAGUUGGAGAUACCCGAAGCCUAUGAGCUAACUUUUAGAGGCAGUAGUCGAAGGUAGAAUCAAUGAUUGGGGUGAAGUCGUAACAAGGUAAC
rnacentral:rRNA from 1 species